UACGGGGGGAGCAAGCGUUGUUCGGAUUUACUGGGCGUAAAGGGCGCGUAGGCGGUCAGCACAAGUCAGUUGUGAAAUCUCCGGGCUUAACCCGGAAAGGUCAACUGAUACUGUGCGACUAGAGUGCGGAAGGGGCAACUGGAAUUCUCGGUGUAGCGGUGAAAUGCGUAGAUAUCGAGAGGAACACCAGCGGCGAAGGCGGAUCUCUGGGCCAUUACUGACGCUGAGGAGCGAAAGCGUGGGGAGCGAACAGG
rnacentral:rRNA from 1 species